rnacentral:rRNA from 1 species
CCUACGGGCGGCAGCAGUGGGGAAUAUUGGACAAUGGGGGCAACCCUGUUCCAGCCAUGCCGCGUGUGUGAAGAAGGCCCUCGGGUUGUAAAGCACUUUCAGUGAGGAAGAACGCCUGGUGGUUAAUACCCAUCAGGAAAGACAUCACUCACAGAAGAAGCACCGGCUAACUCCGUGCCAGCAGCCGCGGUAAUACGGAGGGUGCGAGCGUUAAUCGGAAUUACUGGGCGUAAAGCGCGCGUAGGUGGCUUGAUAAGCCGGUUGUGAAAGCCCCGGGCUCAACCUGGGAACGGCAUCCGGAACUGUCAAGCUAGAGUGCAGGAGAGGAAGGUAGAAUUCCCGGUGUAGCGGUGAAAUGCGUAGAGAUCGGGAGGAAUACCAGUGGCGAAGGCGGCCUUCUGGACUGACACUGACACUGAGGUGCGAAAGCGUGGGUAGCAAACAGGAUUAGAUACCCGAGUAGUC